AAUUGUGUCUGUUUGGAAAGGGAGGUCACUCUGCGAUAACUUUAAAGAUCGAAAUAGAAAUCGUAAGUGUAUUUUAUGUACAUUUUAAAUGAAUUUGAACUCCAGCAGUGGCUAGCUGGAGCGGAUGUGAGUUGCGAGGAUGCCCAGAGGAUGCAAAGAGGAUACAGUGGACGUUUAACGGAUGAUAACGGACAUGGAACGUUUGGUGCUCGUAUAUGUUGUGCAUUUACAUCGUACAUGGCAGAAAGUUCGUCCCUUAUAAAAGUUUUGUGCAGCUCAAAAGUUUUUGCGCGGAUGAAAUCAAAGUGAACGGAUGCUCGAUGGAUAGAGCGUAUGAAACACCCCGUACCGAAAUGAAGUGUACACUUCCUCCGAAGUGUUCAUUUCCAACACACUUCUAUAGACACUCGAUUGAAACAAAUAAGUGAAUGUACUGAAAUAUGGCGUCUGUCUAAAAAUAGGUCAUUAGCGGGGUUCGCUCUUCACGGAGUCCAAGUACUAGAUACGCAGCUUAUUAUUGCGAUAUCCCCCCUUUCUGUAUCGAGGAAAUGUAAUCCUGUAUUCAUUAUUUACACAUAAUAAUUAAUCAUAUUGGUGGUUAUUCGCUGUUUCGCUUCGUCUAAAGUCCAGUGGUACGGAACUCGUAUUAUUGGACGGGGAUAUGGCCGGGUAUUUAAAUUAAAAAUAUUGGUCUUACAAUACAAAAUUCCAGAUGUCAUAUUACGUAUCACUGAAAAGCACGUUCUUUGCACUUUUCAAAUAUGUAAAUUAUUUUUUGGCACAUUUAUUUUUAUUUACUUUGAAAAACAAUCAAUGUUGGAUGGUACUAAAAUCUAUUACCAUGUUUACGCAGAGGUGGUGUGUUGUUGUCCACCAACAUGGCGGCGUCCUGUAUCUAGGUCAUGUAUCGGAUACCGGUACGCUCUAUAUAUAGGCAUAGACUAUAAUCAAAAUGGCCGACGAGAAUUGAAUGUUUUGAUAGUUGAAUUUGAUUAGGACCUAAUGUGGCUUUGAACACACGGCAUGCAAGCAUGCCUGCCUUAUUUGACAUUAUAUUAUUUCAAAUUAUACUGCCACCAUGGGCCGUAGGCGUUAUAUAGCGAUUAGCGACGAUUCCCGAAUGAUCGAGAUUUACGGUCGGCAUUUCUUUUAUCAGGCUACCGCUUCAAAAUGUACACAAGUGAAUGACGAGUCUUAUGUAAAGCUAAUCUUACAAAUAAACUUGCUAUUUCUAUCAAUGUUUCAGGUACCUAUUUUAAAUAACAGACCAUCAUGUGUAGGCUACACGGUAAAAGUAAAAGUAAAUUUGCUGGAAAUUUGGUAAUCCUUGUAAGACUUGAUGUGUUGUGUAGGCUGCACGGUGCCGGUACAUAUUUAAAAUAUUUCAUUCAAUACCCGGUACGGUAUUUUAAAAGACCAAAGCCACCAAUAAUACUCAAUAAGCAAUACAUGUAGUUUUACAUCUGACUGUCAUAAAAUUUUGUAAAUGUAUAUGAUAGCCUAAUAUUGCUGUGAUAUUUAAGCAAAACUUUAUUAAUAUAACCAAAUAAUAAACUGGAUCUUAGUAAAGCAUCUAAAGAAUGGGCUAAUGUAAAGCAAAUUAAGAUUUGGCAAAUGAAAAUUCCAUUUGGCCAUAAAAUAUAUAAACAAUUUUGCAUGUGAAAGUGAUAGCUAUAAAUUGCUAUAUCCUAUGUUUACAAUAUUAUGCUGCUGACAUUUUAUUGUUGUUGAAAUGAGUUAGUGCAUAUUGCUUUAAGCGCUGGACGCAGUAGCCGAAUGAUUCUGCCGAAUGAAUCCGCGCUUAAUGAUUCGCGAAUCAAACAUGUUUGAUAUAUUUGCCCGAAUUAUAUUUAAUCACCAAUCAUAUCGAGAAGUCACGUGAUUGUUUGAAGACAUGGUUGCUGCCAUGUUUAAUCAUGCGAUGUCAAAGGUGAUGCAAUCGACUUGUGAAUCAGGUGAGAGUAUGCCCACUUAUUUGGCCGAAUGAUUCAGCUAGUGUAUCCACGACAGACCUUGUGAUUUCAUGUGCACACAUUAAGCACAAAACCAUUCAACCCCCACAUUGAAAAAAUGAAAUGAAAUGGGGUUUAACAUCCUACUAUUCUGCUCCUAUGCUGGGCUAAUGAAGACGGCAUACGCCAUACAGUGUGCUAUGAGGGAAAUUUUGCCCGGGCAGCGGGACUAUCGCCUACUCUUAUAUCGAAUUCCAACUGCCAAGGGAUCUUUUACGUGCAUUCUAAUGUAUACACGGGACCUCAGUUUUUCGUCUUAUCCGAAAGACUAGACAGCUGUCCUUGUCAGUCCCUCCGUGCUGCAUCACUGGCAAGGGGGAGCCACGCCGGAAAAUCUCAAUGAACUUUCUCGGCCAAUGCAGGGAUCGAACCCCCGACCUCCAGGCUAGCGAGCCAGCGUCUUACUCACUUAGCCACGUGACCCCCUCCCACAUUGAAAAGAAAAGACACAAGCAAAGAACUAAAUGUUAGCCCAGAAGUUACCUGGUUUGUGUUGAGUGGACAUUAAACCCCAUUUUUCUCACUAUCUCAUAUACAAACACAAAAUGUGCUGUGGGAAAUUUUACCUUGACAGCUGCCAUAUGACCUACUCUUAUAUCAAAUUAAAACUGCCAUGGAUUCUUUUACAUGCUGGUUUCGAUUCGCUGUAUUAUAAAGUCUGUCAUUGAGUCAACUGGCGUGGUUUCAAUUCCCCGGCUGUACAAGACAAGGAGUAGGGUCGCCUGUCCAACCUCGUGGGUUUUCUCCGGGUCCUCCGGUUUCCUCCCACUGCUAAAGACCCCUACACGCAAGCGAAUUAUUGAAAUAAAAUUAUACCAUAUGAAAGGCCCCAAAUGACCUAGUUUGUAUCGACUGGACAUUAAACCCCAUUUCUCUCUCUCUCGGUCAGACAAUUUGGGAGAAUGCACAGACAGCGGUGCUAUAUGAACAGUAUGAACAACUAGAUGCUGUUUCUUGCCAGGACCCUUGUCCGACACCACUGUCAAUGGUAAAUUAUUCCGGAAAUCCUGAGUAAUUUUGUUGACAUGCCGGGAUCCAACCUGGGAUAAUUGAAGCAUUUAUUCUUAACACAAAAGAAUUACUCAUGCUCUUAUUAUCAAAAAACGUUCAAAAAAGACACCCAUUACAUAUGCCAUACAGUGUGCAAUGAGGCACUAAGGCCUUACAUGUAUCUUAUUUCAAAAUCCAACUGUCCAACUUUUACAUACACGCCAAUGUGCAUGUGUGAUGUCUGUUUUUUUUUGUUGUGCCAUCCGCACGACUAUACAACUGUUUCCUCCUGGUCCCCAUGGUUUUCUCCCACUACAAAAGACCCCUACAGCCAAAUAAUUGAAAAAAAAUUGAUCCAUGUGUUAGUCCUGCUAUGGCGUAGUUUGUGUAGAGUGGACAUUAAACUUCAUUUCUCUCCCUUCUUGCCAGGCCCUAUGUCCUGCACCACUGGAAAGGGGGAACCAAGGCGUAAAAUCUAGAAGAGCUUUCCUGGGCAAUGACAGGAUCGAACACGGGACGACUCGGAUAGUGUGCCAACGUCUCACUCACUGAGGGGGGGUGGAUGACCGUAUGGGUAGCACGUGUGCGCUGUAUUAUAAAGUCUGUCAUUGAGUCAACUGGCGUGGUUUCGAUUCCCCAGCUGUACAAGACAAGGAGUAGGGUCGCCUGUCCAACCUUGUGGGUUUUCUCUGGGUCCUCCGGUUUCCUCCAACUGCUAAAGACCCCUACGUGCAUGCGCAAAUUAUUUAAAUAAAAUUGAACCAUAUGUUAGUCUCAAAAAGACAUUAAUUAGGUCUGUAGUCUAUAUUGAAAUUGCGAGAAUCUGUUAUUAAAAUAAAAAACAGUCCUAGGCCUGCGUAGGCCCAGAAAUGAAAUGAAAUGGGGUUUCACAUCCUACUGUUCUGCUCCUGGUUUUGAUUCCCCAGUUACGUGACUAGGAGUAGUCGCCUGUCCAACUUUGUGGGUUUUCUCGGGGUCCUCCCACUGCCAAAGACCCCUACGUGCAUGCACAAAUUAUUGAAAUAAAAUUGAACCAUAUGUUAGUCUCAAAAAGACAUUAAGUAGGUCUGUAGUCUAUGUUAAAAUUGCGAGAAUCUGUCAUUUAAAAAAAAAAACAGUCCUAGGCCUACGUAUGCCCUGAAAUGAAAUGAAAUGAAAUGGGGUUUAACGUCCUACUGUUCUGCUCCUGGUUUUGAUUCCCCAGUUACGUGACUAGGAGUAGUCGCCUGUCCAACCUUGACGGUUUUCUCCGGGUCCUUCGGUUUCCUCCCACUGCUAAAGACCCCUACGUGCAUGCGCAAAUUAUUGAAAUAAAAUUGAACCAUAUGUUUGUCUCAAAAAGACAUUAAGUAGGUCUAUAAUCUAUAUUAAAAUUGCGAGAAUCUGUCAUUUAAAAAAACAACAUUCCUAGGCCUACGUAGGCCCUGAAAUGAAAUGAAAUGGGGUUUAAUGUCCUACUGUUCUGCUCCUAACCUGGGCUAAUGAAGACGGGCAUACGCCAUACAGUGUGCUAUGAGGGAAAUUUUGCCCGGGCAGCGGCGCUACGGCCUACUCUUAUAUCGAAUUCCAACUGCCAAGGGAUCUUUUACGUGCACGCCAAUGUGUACACGGGACCUCGGUUUUUGUCCCAACCGAACAACUAGACAGCUGUCCUUGUCAGGCCCUCCGUCCUGCAUCACUGGCAAGGGGGAACCACGCUGGAAAAUCUCAAUGAACUUUCUCGGCCAAUGCAGGGAUCGAACACCCGACCUCCCGACCUCCAGGCUAGCGAGCCAGCAUCUUACCCACUUAGCCAUGUGAUCCCCGCAUAGGCCCUACACGGUGUACACCUAUCAUAUUUUCAAUGACAUCGAAAUUUCAGAAACUAUAAUUCAUGAAAAGUUAAAAUAUUGAACAACAAUGUUUUGAUACAAUAAUUAACAUUUGCUUUGGAAGAAAUGUAAAAAGAUUACAAAAAAUGUUGACAUUGAGACAUUGCUAAAAUUUGCUUAUUAUUAUUAUUUCUGUUUAUUAAUAUUAUACUAUUAUUAUUAUUACAGCAUAUUUAUAGUGCUCAGGGGAACUUACAGAGUGACAAUACAAAAAAACAAUGUUAACAGUUGUAUUAUAAGUUCCAUGGUAUAGAGUACCGGUACUAAAAUACAACAGGGUCAGAUAGAAUCCUGUUUAAAUAUGUGUUUUUAAAUUGUUUUUUUUUAAAUAAAUAUAUAAAGAUGUAGGCCUACAACAUCUUAAACUAAAUUUUUAAUUGUAGGUCUAGUUGUAAUUAAAUUAGCCUAUUAGUAUUAUCAAAAUGGCGAUCAAGUACCGGUAUUUAAAAAUAUUGUUGACCUAUUUAUUUUUGUGGGUGUGUGGGUGUUACUGUGACCCAGAUGUGAGAUAAUUAAUACAUCACAAGUCUCAAGCGAAAUUUAGGCCUAUAGCCCAGUUCAUGAAAGUUGUUAAGAUAUUGGAAAACAAUGUUUUGAUACACAAUUCAACAUUUUUUUAGGAAAUAGAUUUAUAACCAAACACAAACAAAAGAAUUUCUGUUAAUGAUACCGGUAGUAAAAAAUGAUUUUUAACUUUCUAUUUUUUUUUUACUCGUAUUUUCUAAAGAUCGGUAGGAUUGGUCAAUAAUGACGUAAGUGAAAUGACGUUAUGGCCCAUGGGCGCCAUCUUUUUCUUUUCGCUAACAUGAUUGAUACUGAAAACAAUUUAAGGUAAGUUAUUAUAAUAUUUCUCAAAGUUUUAAUUGUUGUAAAGACCAGGUUUUUCUUAUAGCUAGCCAAUUUAAUGAUUAGUUACGAUUUAUCACUAACAAAAUGUCUAAGUUGCUGAAAAUCGCGUAAAAAUAAGUUUAGUGUGAUUAUGACUCGCACACAAUUUGGAUUUGGUAUUAUGCAUGGCGUCGAAAUGCCAAUUUCAUUGAUUGAUGAAGUACACCGAAUUAUUUAUAAUUUGACGAUUUGUCCCAGAAAAUUCUUCAGUUUAAUUGGAACUAGAUCUAUGCAGAGAAUUGAUUUAUUCAUUUCAUUUUCAUGGCAUAUCAUUGCCAUUGUGAUUGUCGAAUUGAAGCGCCAUGGGUGUGUGGACGAGUUGACCUAUUCCGUGUCAACGACUAACCAGUGUACAUGUAUUUUGAUAUUUGUGGACUACAUAACUAGACUUUUUGUGUGGACAAGUUAACUGGCAUUCAUUUUGAAUGAUUACAGUUGUUUUCGGUAAAUUUAAACUGCGGUACACUGUAUUGGUACUUGAAAAAAGGUGAAUUUAUUUCGUCUUUAUUUUUUUUUUCAGAGGUUGUAAAUUAAUAAUCCACCAGUGCGGUAUGUGAAAAAUGUGUCUAGACAAGAUGAAAAAUUCCAAUUUUAAAGUAAAGAAUUCAAAGACGUGUAUGACAUGAUGCGAAACACUCAUUACCUUAUGCAUGUGUAGG